rnacentral:rRNA from 1 species
AACGAACGCUGGCGGCAGGCCUAACACAUGCAAGUCGAGCGCCCUCGCAAGGGGGAGCGGCGGACGGGUGAGUAACGCGUGGGAAUUUUCCUCACGGUACGGAACAACUCAGGGAAACUUGGGCUAAUACCGUAUGAUGUCUAGCGACCAAAGAUUUAUCGCCUUGGGAUCAGCCCGCGUCGGAUUAGGUAGUUGGUGGGGUAACGGCCUACCAAGCCUGCGAUCUGUAGCUGGUCUGAGAGGACGAUCAGCCACAUUGGGACUGAGACACGGCCCAAACUCCUACGGGAGGCAGCAGUGGGGAAUCUUGCGCAAUGGGCGAAAGCCUGACGCAGCCAUGCCGCGUGAAUGAUGAAGGUCUUAGGAUUGUAAAGUUCUUUCGCCCGUGACGAUGAUGAUGGUAACGGGAGAAGAAGCCCCGGCUAACUUCGUGCCAGCCGCCGCGGUAACAC